GUGCACGCUUCAGCAGCACAUAUACUAAAAUUGGAAUGAUACACAGAAGAUUAGCAUAGCCUGUACACAAGGAUGACAUGCAAAUUCGUGAAGCAUUCCAUGUUUUG
ensembl:snRNA U6 U6 spliceosomal RNA